GUAGGUGGCAAGCGUUGUCCGGAAUUAUUGGGCGUAAAGCGCGCGCAGGGCGGGAUCAGUCAGUCUGUCUUAAAAGUUCGGGGCUUAACCCCGUGAUGGGAUGGAAACUGCUGAUCUAGAGUAUCGGAGAGGAAAGUGGAAUUCCUAGUGUAGCGGUGAAAUGCGUAGAUAUUAGGAAGAACACCAGUGGCGAAGGCGACUUUCUGGACGAAAACUGACGCUGAGGCGCGAAAGCCAGGGGAGCGAACGGGAUUAGAUACCCCGGUAGUCCUGGCCGUAAACGAUGGGUACUAGGUGUAGGAGGUAUCGACCCCUUCUGUGCCGGAGUUAACGCAAUAAGUACCCCGCCUGGGGAGUACGACCGCAAGGUUG
rnacentral:rRNA from 1 species